GCAUAAGCCUUGACAACCACAGCAUAACCCAGACUCAAAAGAGGAAUAUAGGUGUACACAUCCGUCAUGGGUCAGGCUCUGCAGAGAGCAGCACAGUGGACCUCUGCCAAGGGAGGUUCAGGGGGCAAGUUAGAAUUCACAAAACUAAACGAAGAACUGCUCAAUUCCAUCAUACAGUAUGUUGAUGGUUUCGGUGCCAAGUAUGCUGAUGAAUCUAAAUUAGUUUUCAAAAAGCCCUUGACCUGGCAAACAACAGUCAGUCCAGAUGCAAUCAGUGCACCAGGGUUAGAAGACAGGUAGGUGGGGACAAAAUAUCAGAAGCCAAAGCUGACAAGGACCAGCCCCUAUUCUCUAUAAAGAGGGAUGGAUCAGACAAUGAGUGCAGCGCCAUGACCAUGGAGUACUGUGAACAAGUCCUCAGAGCAUCCGGAGACAAGAAAAUGAUCGAAAUCAGAGCUUGCCUGGAAGCAAACCGUGAUCCAGUGGCCAACAUGUUGGGUGAGCGCUUCGCCACAGUGGAAGGUGACGACAACUCCAUCUUCCGAUUCAUCGAGGAGAUCACCAAGGAGAUCGAACAGCUCGCCAAGCAGCACGCAGAAAACGAAGGAAACACUGAAAAACAAGAGGAAAUCGAGGAAAAGAAACUGGUGCUGAAAAUGAGGCUGAUUCUUCUGCGACUAGACCAGCAAUUAUUGAACCAGAGCAUCGCUCAGAUAACAAAGGAUGUUCGACUGACCCCUAUCAUGGUUGACGGAGAAGUCACCAUCCUACAGGAACUGUCGGGAGAUGAUGAAAGAAAGCACGUGCUGGAAACCAUCGAUUUCUGGGGUGACGGAUACAUUUUCAAAAAUGGCUGUCGCGCUCCGCCUCAACGCCAGCUUCACGGAGACAUUGCGUACAUAGAAGUUCGCCCGUUCGAUGGAAAUAUGCUAUACAUCACCGCCAAUACCAGUGGCUACUAUCUGAACAAGGGCCCAGACAACCGUGGCGACAUGAACUACGAGAAGGAGGGUGAUGCCUACAGGGAGCUGGUCACACUGCUCAAGGACAAGAGUGCCCACUUCACAGAGAUGAUUGACAAACAGGAAUUCCACCUCAAAGUCCAGGAGAAGGAUGAUUACAUGGAUGCGAGGCGCGUGGAGGAGGAUGAUGAUGAUAGAGAGAGCACUGCAGGCUACCGCCCUGACCGCUCCAAGCAGAAGGCAGAGGAAGACUCCAAGGACAAAGGACAGAAGCAGAAGGCACAGAAAAAGAAGAAGCUGGAGCCAUCUCUCAAAUGGAAAGCACUCGGGAUGGAGGAAUACCAGGAACCAGAUAAACGAGAAACACAGAAGCUAAAGAAGAAGAAGACUUCUCCAAGGAUGAAGACAAAGACCCCAGUUGAUGCUGAAGACUCCUUCAGUGAGAGCUCCACAGAGAGUGAGGAGGAGGAAGAGGCAGUAGAGAGGAGGAGCGAGACAAAUGCUGAUCUUCCGUCUGAGUACUGGCAGAUACAAAAACUGGUCAAAUACCUCAAGGGUGGAAACCAAACUGCCACCAUCAUUGCUUUGUGUUCAAUGAGGGACUUCAACCUUGCUCAGGAGACGUGCCAGUUGGCCAUUCGUGAUGUGGGGGGUCUGGAGGUGUUGAUCAACCUGCUAGACACAGAGGAAGUCAAAUGCAAGAUUGGAUCACUCAAGAUCUUGAAAGAAAUCUCCAGGAAUACUCAGAUCAGACGGGCCAUCGCUGACCUGGGGGGACUACAGACAAUGGUGAAGAUCCUGCGUGACCCCGACAAGGAUCUGAAGUGUCUGGCUGCUGAAACCAUUGCCAACGUGGCCAAGUUCAGGCGGGCCAGACGCACCGUCAGGCAGCAUGGAGGCAUCAAAAAACUGGUGGGUCUUCUGGAUUGCCCCAUAGUGUCCGCCACCAGUCCAGAGGCAGACAAGGAUGCUGAGGUGGCUCGCAGUGGUGCCCUGGCUUUGUGGAGCUGCAGCAAGAGCAAGAAAAACAAAGAGGCCAUGAGGAAGGCGGGCGCCAUUCCCCUGCUGGCCAAACUCCUCAAAUCUCCCAACGAGAACAUGCUGAUUCCGGUGGUCGGGACCCUUCAGGAGUGUGCAUCAGAGCCCAGUUACAGACUAGCUAUAAGAACAGAGGGAAUGAUAGAGGAUUUAGUGAAGAACCUAAAGAGCCAGUCAGAUGAACUGCAGAUGCAUUGUGCAUCAGCUAUAUUCAAGUGUGCGGAGGAGAAGGAGACGCGAGAUCUGGUGAGGCAGUACGGUGGACUGGACCCUCUGGUGUCCCUCCUACAGAAAACCGAAAACAAGGAGUUGCUGGCGGCAGCCACCGGAGCCAUCUGGAAGUGUGCCAUCAGUCCGGAGAAUGUGACCCGCUUCCAGGAGCUGAGGGCAAUAGAACAGCUGGUGGGACUACUGAACGACCAGCCUGAGGAGGUCUUGGUCAAUGUGGUUGGUGGUUUAGGUGAACUAGCUAAGGACCCUCCCAACAGAAUGUUGGUCAG
rnacentral:misc_RNA from 1 species